GACGAACGCUGGCGGCGUGCUUAACACAUGCAAGUCGAACGGAAAGGCCCUGCUUUUGUGGGGUGCUCGAGUGGCGAACGGGUGAGUAACACGUGAGUAACCUGCCCUUGACUUUGGGAUAACUUCAGGAAACUGGGGCUAAUACCGGAUAGGAGCUCCUGCUGCAUGGUGGGGGUUGGAAAGUUUCGGCGGUUGGGGAUGGACUCGCGGCUUAUCAGCUUGUUGGUGGGGUAGUGGCUUACCAAGGCUUUGACGGGUAGCCGGCCUGAGAGGGUGACCGGCCACAUUGGGACUGAGAUACGGCCCAGACUCCUACGGGAGGCAGCAGUGGGGAAUAUUGCACAAUGGGCGGAAGCGUGAUGCAGAAACGCCGCGUGCGGGAUGACGGCCUUCGGGUGGUAAACCGCUUUCGCCUGUGACGAAGCGUGAGUGACGGUAAUGGGUAAAGAAGCACCGGCUAACUACGU
rnacentral:rRNA from 1 species